GAAGUGCGAUAAGCAAUGCGAAUUGCAGAACCGUGAGUCAUCAGAUUUUUGAACGCAACUGGCGCCGACUGGUCCUCUAGUCGGCAUGCUUGUUUCAGUGUCUCUUUUUCUCCUCACCCAAAUCAUAAUGCAAGAGAUACCCUUCUCUUGUUAAAUAUGAAAGUACUCUGUACCUGCAAGUGAGACUGAAUUCGUUCGGACUCACACUCAAUGCAGCAAUCACAUUUUACAAUGUGAACUCAUUGAGAGUAGAGACAGCUCAGCUUUGCUGAAAGUACUUAGACAAUUAAACUUUUAUUGCAUCUGAAAUCAAGCAGGACCACCCGCUGAACUUAA
rnacentral:misc_RNA from 1 species